AAAAUGCGAUAAGUAAUGUGAAUUGCAGAAUUCAGUGAAUCAUCGAAUCUUUGAACGCACAUUGCGCCCGCCAGUAUUCUGGCGGGCAUGCCUGUUCGAGCGUCAUUUCAACCCUCAAGCCCCCGGGUUUGGUGUUGGGGAUCGGGCUGCGGUUCUACCGCGUCCCGGCCCCGAAAUCUAGUGGCGGUCUCGCUGCAGCCUCCAUUGCGUAUUAGCUAACACCUCGCAACUGGAACGCGGCGCGGCCAAGCCGUUAAACCCCCAACUUCUGAAUGUUGACCUCGGAUCAGGUAGGAAUACCCGCUGAACUUAAGC
rnacentral:misc_RNA from 1 species